ACACACACACACACACACACACACACACACACACACACAUAUAUAUAUAAGAAAGUUACGAGAUAAAUUUGAAAAGGAAGAUACUUUCAGAUUCAUUUUCUCUCUCUCUCUGUAUCCUUCCAUACUUUUAACUAAUUGUCACUACAGUAGCUUAGGUCGAACGGCACUUCUCAAUUAUUACAAAGUCGUAUGUGCUCUUCCUGUAACUCGAUCUGUAAACUCGUAUUUCUGCACAGCAGUUGUGAAAAGUUUUGACAGGAAAAUUGUGCUCUUUAAAGAGAUGAAUCACCAGAGUUUACGAAACAGAAUAAGAAAACAACCCUUAAGGCAAACAAACCGAAAAUAUUUUUACAUAAAACGGAAAUGAUUUUCGAAAUACUUCCUGCAAUUCUAUACUCCCCUUUAGGGAGAUUGUUUUGCAUGAGAACUUAUAUAUAUAUAUUAUUUUUUUUCUUUUCUUUUCUGUCAUACUUAUUAUACCUCCUGGAUAGUUUUAGGAAUCCCGACUUUUACCAGUUGCAGCAGCAGCAGCAGCAUCAGCAUCAGCUUCUCAAACUAUCUGGAAAAUCAUUCUGUUCAUCGCGGUUAGUGAAGUGGGAUAAAUCAUUCUGGGGAUUCCUUCCAUUUUAAUUAAUAUUACAAUACAGCUGCUGUUGCCAGCGUGCAGAACCACACUGUUGGCAUACCAGUACCGCUAUCGCUGGAAUCACUCGGUUAGAUAGAUAUAGUAGUGUAUCAAAGUCGGUGCCGACCAGUCCACUGACCUAUUGUUUCGAGGAAAUGGACUGUGUACUCACCGAGUUUAUUGAAGAAAUGCUCAUAACUGACGUCUUCCAGUUGUGUGAAAACAAACUCAUUUUUAAGUGGAACAAAUGAGAAUGUUAUGUUCCACAAUUCUACCCCCCCUCCCUCUUCCAAAAUCGAUAUUAUCAUUGGUUGAUUAAACGCGCAAGCGCUCAUUUUCUUUGUGAACAGUAAUUGGAAGGAAGGUCGCUAUCUGCUCCUGAAUGUAAGCUCGACUGUAUGACACUUAUCCAGAAUGAAAAGACCCAUUUACAGGAGUUAUCUCCCGACAUUACUGUAUAGAUAGUAUCUGUAAUGAAUUACAUUUACGACUAAUCGAUCCAAGCGUGCGUUGCGUAAACAAAAAGGGGAUCAAAUUUCAUAAAUUUAUAUAUAUAUAUACAUAAAUAAUAAUUCCGUUUUUCC
rnacentral:lncRNA from 1 species